GCCUGCCUAGCUCAAUCGGAUAGAGCGUCAGACUUUUAUGGCGGGGUCACCGAUCUGAAGUAAUAUCUGAAGGCUGCGAGUUCGACCCUCACGGUGGGCU
rnacentral:tRNA from 1 species